UACGAAGGGGGCUAGCGUUGCUCGGAAUGACUGGGCGUAAAGGGCGCGUAGGCGGAUGGCACAGUCAGAUGUGAAGUUCCCGGGCUUAACCUGGGGGCUGCAUUUGAUACGUGUUGUCUUGAGUUCGGAAGAGGGUCGUGGAAUUCCCAGUGUAGAGGUGAAAUUCGUAGAUAUUGGGAAGAACACCGGUGGCGAAGGCGGCGACCUGGUCCGACACUGACGCUGAGGCGCGAAAGCGUGGGGAGCAAACAGG
rnacentral:rRNA from 1 species